rnacentral:misc_RNA from 1 species
UCCGAGUUGACCCCGGCAGUCUCCUAUGAGUCCCCGACAUUACUCGCUGGCAACAUAGGACGAGGGUUGCGCUCGUUGCGGGACUUAACCCAACAUCUCACGACACGAGCUGACGACAGCCAUGCACCACCUGUGCACUGGCCCCGAAGGGCUGCCGUGUUUCCACGACAUUCCAGUGCAUGUCAAGCCCUGGUAAGGUUCUUCGCGUCGCGUCGAAUUAAACAACAUGCUCCGCUGCUUGUGCGGGUCCCCGUCAAUUCCUUUGAGUUUUAGCCUUGCGGCCGUACUCCCCAGGCGGGGCACUUAAUGCGUUAGCUACGGCACGGAACCCGUUGAAUAGGCCCCACACCUAGUGCCCAACGUUUACAGCGUGGACUAC